rnacentral:rRNA from 1 species
GACGAACGCUGGCGGCGUGCUUAACACAUGCAAGUCGAACGGUAAGGCCCUUCGGGGUACACGAGUAGCGAACGGGUGAGUAACACGUGGGUGAUCUGCCCUGCACUUCGGGAUAAGCCUGGGAAACUGGGUCUAAUACCGGAUAGGACCACUGCCUGCAUGGGUGGUGGUGGAAAGCUUUUGCGGUGUGGGAUGGGCCCGCGGCCUAUCAGCUUGUUGGUGGGGUGAUGGCCUACCAAGGCGACGACGGGUAGCCGGCCUGGGAGGGUGACCGGCCACACUGGGACUGAGAUACGGCCCAGACUCCUACGGGAGGCAGCAGUGGGGAAUAUUGCACAAUGGGCGCAAGCCUGAUGCAGCGACGCCGCGUGAGGGAUGACGGCCUUCGGGUUGUAAACCUCUUUCAGCACCGACGAAGCGCAAGUGACGGUAGGUGCAGAAGAAGGACCGGCCAACUACGUGCCAGCCGCCGCAGUAA